rnacentral:rRNA from 1 species
AUGCACGCUGGCGGCGUGCCUAAUACAUGCAAGUCGAGCGAACAGACGAGGAGCUUGCUCCUCUGACGUUAGCGGCGGACGGGUGAGUAACACGUGGAUAACCUACCUAUAAGACUGGGAUAACUUCGGGAAACCGGAGCUAAUACCGGAUAAUAUAUUGAACCGCAUGGUUCAAUAGUGAAAGACGGUUUUGCUGUCACUUAUAGAUGGAUCCGCGCCGCAUUAGCUAGUUGGUAAGGUAACGGCUUACCAAGGCGACGAUGCGUAGCCGACCUGAGAGGGUGAUCGGCCACACUGGAACGGAAGCACGGUCCAGACUCCUACGGGAGGCACAAGUAGGGAAUCUUCGGAAAUGGGCGAAAGCCUGACGGAGCAACGCCGCGUGAGUGAUAAAGGUCUUAGGAUCGUAAAACUCUGUUAUUAGGGAAGAACAAAUGUGUAAGUAACUAUGCACGUCUUGACGGUACCUAAUCAGAAAGCCACGGCUAACUACGUG